rnacentral:rRNA from 1 species
CCGCCGGCGACCGGCGCACGGGUGAGUAACACGUAUGCAACCUGGCCGUGACAGAUGGAUAACCGGGAGAAAUCCCGCCUAAUACAACAUAAUGCCGGGAGGGGACAUCCCCUGCCGGCCAAAGGGGGCGACCCCGGUCACGGAUGGGCAUGCGGCGCAUUAGGUAGUUGGUGGGGCAACGGCCCACCAAGCCGACGAUGCGUAGGGGUUCUGAGAGGAAGGUCCCCCACAUUGGAACUGAGACACGGCCCAAACUCCUACGGAAGGCAGCAG